rnacentral:rRNA from 1 species
AUUGAACGCUGGCGGCAGGCCUAACACAUGCAAGUCGAGCGGAUGAGUGGAGCUUGCUCCAUGAUUCAGCGGCGGACGGGUGAGUAAUGCCUAGGAAUCUGCCUGGUAGUGGGGGACAACGUUUCGAAAGGAACGCUAAUACCGCAUACGUCCUACGGGAGAAAGCAGGGGACCUUCGGGCCUUGCGCUAUCAGAUGAGCCUAGGUCGGAUUAGCUAGUAGGUGAGGUAAUGGCUCACCUAGGCGACGAUCCGUAACUGGUCUGAGAGGAUGAUCAGUCACACUGGAACUGAGACACGGUCCAGACUCCUACGGGAGGCAGCAGUGGGAAUAUUAGGACAAUGGCGGAAAGACCUGAUCAGCCAUGCCGCGUCGUGGUGAAGAAGGUCUUCGG